rnacentral:misc_RNA from 1 species
GAUGAAGAACGUAGCGAAAUGCGAUAAGUAAUGUGAAUUGCAGAAUUCAGUGAAUCAUCGAAUCUUUGAACGCACAUUGCGCCCCUUGGUAUUCCGAGGGGCAUGCCUGUUCGAGCGUCAUUACACCACUCAAGCUAUGCUUGGUAUUGGGCGUCGUCCUUAGUUGGGCGCGCCUUAAAGACCUCGGCGAGGCCACUCCGGCUUUAGGCGUAGUAGAAUUUAUUCGAACGUCUGUCAAAGGAGAGGAACUCAGCCGACUGAAACCUUUAUUUUUCUAGGUUGACCUCGGAUCAGGUAGGGAUACCCGCUGAACUUAAGCAUAUCAAUAAGCGGAGGA